ACGGGUGAGUAACACGUGGGAACGUACCCUUUGGUUCGGAAUAACGCUGGGAAACUAGCGCUAAUACCGGAUACGCCCUUUUGGGGGAAAGGCUUGCUGCCGAAGGAUCGGCCCGCGUCCGAUUAGCUAGUUGGUGGGGUAAUGGCCUACCAAGGCGACGAUCAGUAGCUGGUCUGAGAGGAUGAUCAGCCACACUGGGACUGAGACACGGCCCAGACUCCUACGGGAGGCAGCAGUGGGGAAUAUUGGACAAUGGGCGCAAGCCUGAUCCAGCCAUGCCGCGUGAGUGACGAAGGCCUUAGGGUUGUAAAGCUCUUUUGUCCGGGACGAUAAUGACGGUACCGGAAGAAUAAGCCCCGGCUAACUUCGUGCCAGCAGCCGCGGUAAUACGAAGGGGGCUAGCGUUGCUCGGAAUCACUGGGCGUAAAGGGCGCGUAGGCGGCCAUUCAAGUCGGGGGUGAAAGCCUGUGGCUCAACCACAGAAUUGCCUUCGAUACUGUUUGGCUUGAGUAUGGCAGAGGUUAGUGGAACUGCGAGU
rnacentral:rRNA from 1 species